AGAGUUUGAUCAUGGCUCAGAAUCACGCUGGCGGCGUGCUCAGACAUGCAAGUCGAACGAUUAACUUUCCUUCGGGAAAGAUAUAAAGUGGCGCACGGGUGAGUAACACGUAAGUAAUCUACCUUCGAGUGGGGAAUAACGUCCGGAAACGGACGCUAAUACCGCAUAAUGCAGCGGCAUCGCAAGAUGACAGUUGUUAAAGGAUUCAUUCGCUUGAAGAGGAGCUUGCGGCAGAUUAGCUUGUUGGUAAGGUAACGGCUUACCAAGGCUACGAUCUGUAACCGGUCUAAGAGGACGGUCGGUCACACUGACACUGAAUAACG
rnacentral:rRNA from 1 species